GGUUAAGCGACUAAGCGUACACGGUGGAUGCCCUGGCAGUCAGAGGCGAUGAAGGGCGUACUAAUCUGCGAUAAGCGCCGGUAAGGUGAUAUGAACCGUUAUAACCGGCGAUACCCGAAUGGGGAAACCCAGUGUGAUUCGUCACACUAUCAUUAACUGAAUCCAUAGGUUAAUGAGGCGAACCGGGGGAACUGAAACAUCUAAGUACCCCGAGGAAAAGAAAUCAACCGAGAUUCCCCCAGUAGCGGCGAGCGAACGGGGAGGAGCCCAGAGCCUGAAUCAGCAUGUGUGUUAGUGGAAGCGUCUGGAAAGGCGCGCGAUACAGGGUGACAGCCCCGUACACAAAAGCGCAUGUGCUGUGAGCUCGAUGAGUAGGGCGGGACACGUGGUAUCCUGUCUGAAUAUGGGGGGACCAUCCUCCAAGGCUAAAUACUCCUGACUGACCGAUAGUGAACCAGUACCGUGAGGGAAAGGCGAAAAGAACCCCGGCGAGGGGAGUGAAAAAGAACCUGAAACCGUGUACGUACAAGCAGUGGGAGCACAGGUUUACCUGUGUGACUGCGUACCUUUUGUAUAAUGGGUCAGCGACUUAUAUUCUGUAGCAAGGUUAACCGAAUAGGGGAGCCGGAGGGAAACCGAGUCUUAAUUGGGCGUUAAGUUGCAGGGUAUAGACCCGAAACCCGGUGAUCUAGCCAUGGGCAGGUUGAAGGUUGGGUAACACUAACUGGAGGACCGAACCGACUAAUGUUGAAAAAUUAGCGGAUGACCUGUGGCUGGGGGUGAAAGGCCAAUCAAACCGGGAGAUAGCUGGUUCUCCCCGAAAGCUAUUUAGGUAGCGCCUCGUGAAUUCAUCUCCGGGGGUAGAGCACUGUUUCGGCUAGGGGGCCAUCCCGGCUUACCAACCCGAUGCAAACUGCGAAUACCGGAGAAUGUUAUCACGGGAGACACACGGCGGGUGCUAACGUCCGUCGUGAAGAGGGAAACAACCCAGACCGCCAGCUAAGGUCCCAAAGUCAUGGUUAAGUGGGAAACGAUGUGGGAAGGCCCAGACAGCCAGGAUGUUGGCUUAGAAGCAGCCAUCAUUUAAAGAAAGCGUAAUAGCUCACUGGUCGAGUCGGCCUGCGCGGAAGAUGUAACGGGGCUAAACCAUGCACCGAAGCUGCGGCAGCGACACUGUGUGUUGUUGGGUAGGGGAGCGUUCUGUAAGCCUGCGAAGGUGGCCUGUGAGGGUUGCUGGAGGUAUCAGAAGUGCGAAUGCUGACAUAAGUAACGAUAAAGCGGGUGAAAAGCCCGCUCGCCGGAAGACCAAGGGUUCCUGUCCAACGUUAAUCGGGGCAGGGUGAGUCGACCCCUAAGGCGAGGCCGAAAGGCGUAGUCGAUGGGAAACGGGUUAAUAUUCCCGUACUUGGUGUUACUGCGAAGGGGGGACGGAGAAGGCUAUGUUGGCCGGGCGACGGUUGUCCCGGUUUAAGCGUGUAGGUGUGUGUUCCAGGUAAAUCCGGUUCACUUUAACACUGAGGCGUGACGACGAGGCACUACGGUGCUGAAGCAACAAAUGCCCUGCUUCCAGGAAAAGCCUCUAAGCAUCAGGUAACAUCAAAUCGUACCCCAAACCGACACAGGUGGUCAGGUAGAGAAUACCAAGGCGCUUGAGAGAACUCGGGUGAAGGAACUAGGCAAAAUGGUGCCGUAACUUCGGGAGAAGGCACGCUGACACGUAGGUGAAGUGAUUUACUCAUGGAGCUGAAGUCAGUCGAAGAUACCAGCUGGCUGCAACUGUUUAUUAAAAACACAGCACUGUGCAAACACGAAAGUGGACGUAUACGGUGUGACGCCUGCCCGGUGCCGGAAGGUUAAUUGAUGGGGUCAGCGCAAGCGAAGCUCCUGAUCGAAGCCCCGGUAAACGGCGGCCGUAACUAUAACGGUCCUAAGGUAGCGAAAUUCCUUGUCGGGUAAGUUCCGACCUGCACGAAUGGCGUAAUGAUGGCCAGGCUGUCUCCACCCGAGACUCAGUGAAAUUGAACUCGCUGUGAAGAUGCAGUGUACCCGCGGCAAGACGGAAAGACCCCGUGAACCUUUACUAUAGCUUGACACUGAACAUUGAGCCUUGAUGUGUAGGAUAGGUGGGAGGCUUUGAAGUGUGGACGCCAGUCUGCAUGGAGCCGACCUUGAAAUACCACCCUUUAAUGUUUGAUGUUCUAACGUGGACCCGUUACCCGGGUUGCGGACAGUGUCUGGUGGGUAGUUUGACUGGGGCGGUCUCCUCCUAAAGAGUAACGGAGGAGCACGAAGGUUGGCUAAUCCUGGUCGGACAUCAGGAGGUUAGUGCAAUGGCAUAAGCCAGCUUGACUGCGAGCGUGACGGCGCGAGCAGGUGCGAAAGCAGGUCAUAGUGAUCCGGUGGUUCUGAAUGGAAGGGCCAUCGCUCAACGGAUAAAAGGUACUCCGGGGAUAACAGGCUGAUACCGCCCAAGAGUUCAUAUCGACGGCGGUGUUUGGCACCUCGAUGUCGGCUCAUCACAUCCUGGGGCUGAAGUAGGUCCCAAGGGUAUGGCUGUUCGCCAUUUAAAGUGGUACGCGAGCUGGGUUUAGAACGUCGUGAGACAGUUCGGUCCCUAUCUGCCGUGGGCGCUGGAGAACUGAGGGGGGCUGCUCCUAGUACGAGAGGACCGGAGUGGACGCAUCACUGGUGUUCGGGUUGUCAUGCCAAUGGCACUGCCCGGUAGCUAAAUGCGGAAGAGAUAAGUGCUGAAAGCAUCUAAGCACGAAACUUGCCCCGAGAUGAGUUCUCCCUGAGACUUAAAGUCUCCUGAAGGAACGUUGAAGACGACGACGUUGAUAGGCCGGGUGUGUAAGCGCAGCGAUGCGUUGAGCUAACCGGUACUAAUGAACCGUGAGGCUUAACCUUACAACGCCGAAG
rnacentral:rRNA from 1 species